UCACGUUCAAUUGUGGUAACACAUACUUAAAGUUUAAUUUAAUUGCAUAUGAAUUUUCAGGUGGACUUCUACUUAAGAGACAUUUAUAUGCCAAACUUUAAUGUAAACUUUGAUGGCGGAUCCUUGUGACUGCGAAUCAAUUUCUCAGAACUAUUAAUAUUGGUCAACAACUACAGGGAGUUGAUACAUCGAGUCAAUGGCACCACUUGGAUUCAACCAAUCAAAUUGCCUUUCAGUAGACCAUUCAAAUUCUAAAUAAAUAAAACCCAUUACGGUUCUAUAAUGAACCAUUCCACGGCUGAUUUAAGGAGGAACAUCUGGUCUUCUGAGCUUGUACAGGUAUGAGUGGCUUAUGCUGACUAGUAGAUGAUGAAUGCAGCCAACGCUUUGUUAAUUGCAGCCAUUCCUCCAUGUCUACUUUUCUUACCAAUCCGCGAUAAAACUGGUCAGUCUGUUUAGCCCAAAAUAUACACUGUACUUGAUAUUUUGUCGCAAAUGACUGAAUGCUCAGAAACGCCCACACAAUCCUGGGUCUCGGAGGAUAUGAUCGGGGGGGGGAGUACUCCCUUGUAUGGCCUAUAUAGGUAUGUGUGACUCGCAAGGGUAUGGUUUUUCAGCGGUUCUGGUCUGAAAAAGGGCAUAGAUUCUGACCAUUUUGGUCUGAAAUAGGCUUAGCAUUGGGUAUUCUCAGUUUCAAGGAACUAUUGUUUCCUCAUUAACGUUGGGAAAUUUGCAGCCCUUCUCAAAUGUUUGCAGCCCUUACUCAAAUGGAAGGCAUUCAUGGCUAGCAGCGGUCAUAUUUUAGAACUGUGUACUAGCGUUAGAUGUCUGAAAUGGGGCAUUGAUUGUUCGCUGAAAAGGUCUGAAAAAGAGUACAGGUUUCAAGGUUUGGGCCGCAAAACCCAACAAAAAAUUUGGGGCUACCCCCCCCCCCGGAAUUUUGAGACAGACGUUCAACAUUAGAUCAAAAUAUGAAACUCCUACUUUGAAAAGAAAUUAACCCUUAGCUUUCGCCACAAGUCACACCACAAUUUCGUAAACGUGUUAACACGAUCGAAUUACAUUUUACAGCCAUCACAGCACAGUUUCCAGGCUGUGUUGAUAUAUUUCAAUGGGGGAAGAUUUGCAUAUGUGUACAAAGUUGCUGAAAUAACUGCAAGCUAAGUUCUUUUACACCGCAAUUAACUUUGCGCCGAAUGAACACAGCCGUAAUAUUGUUAUCAUCGAUGUAUCGGAAGUCGACUGACGUGGCAAAAAAUUCGAACUCGUUUAGCACAAAUUUCUCAGGGUAGAAAAGAGAACAAUAAAGGGUGCGACAUCAAGAAAACACAGUGAAGAUUUAAAUAACUGUUGUUUUUCAGUUGAGUGCAUCUAAUUGGUACGUGAGAAUAUGCGUAUCCAAAAAUAAGCUCUGCAAUGUUGGGUGUCAAACACAAUAAACUGAGGUCAGUCACUGUCAUUUGCGAGCCUGUAAAUAGUUUGGAGCACAAAA